GGCAUUGCCUCUGGCGCCUGCGCUCUGUGCUGGGCAGGCCGGGUGACGUCUGGUGAAUCCAAGAUGGCGGCGCUCGGCUGAUCCUGCAGCAGGUGGGGGAGGUGCCGCCGCCUCCCGCCUGACGUUCCUGGGGAGACCCUGCACCGCUCCUGCCGCCGCGGCCAUGUCUGGGCCCGGCAACAAACGCGCCGCCGGCGACGGGGGCUCGGGGCCCCCAGAGAAGUUGAGCCGCGAGGAGAAGACCACGACCACGCUUAUAGAACCCAUUCGUCUGGGGGGCAUCUCUUCUACGGAGGAGAUGGACCUGAAGGUUUUGCAGUUCAAGAAUAAGAAGCUAGCGGAGCGGUUGGAGCAGCGACAGGCUUGUGAGGAUGAGCUCCGGGAGCGCAUCGAGAAGCUGGAGAAGCGGCAGGCCACCGACGACGCCACGCUCCUCAUCGUCAAUCGCUACUGGGCCCAGCUGGAUGAAACUGUGGAGACUCUUCUUCGACACCAUGAGAACCAGGGGGAGCUGUCUGCAGGGACAGAGGCGCCUGGACCCCAGGAGGGGGCGCCCCGUGAUGAGACCCCUCUCACAGAGCCAGGGACGGCAGAGCUGAGGGAGACCCUGCCCGUGCAGCUGCGGCCCCCACUCAGUGAGCCAGCCUUGGCUUUUGUGGUGGCACUGGGUGCCAGCAGCAAUGAGGAGGUGGAGCUGCAGCUACAGGGCCAAAUGGAGUUCUCCAAGGCGGCCGUGUCCCGUGUCGUGGAGGCCUCAGACCACCUGCAGCGCCAGGUGGAGGAACUCUGCCAGCGAGUACACAGCGGAGGGGAUAGUGAGCACCCUGGUGAGGCGGCUCGGGCACGCACCCGGGAGCUGGGGCGUGAGAACCGGCGACUUCAGGACUUGGCCACCCAGCUACAGGAGAAGCACCACCGUAUCUCAUUGGAGUACUCUGAGCUCCAGGAUAAAGUGACUUCAGCAGAGACCAAAGUGCUAGAAAUGGAGACGACAGUAGAGGACCUGCAGUGGGACAUUGAGAAGCUGCGCAAGCGUGAGCAAAAGCUCAAUAAGCACCUGGCGGAGGCCUUGGAGCAGCUCAACUCUGGCUACUAUGUGUCUGGGAGUUCCUCAGGCUUCCAGGGGGGCCAGAUCACACUCAGCAUGCAGAAGUUUGAGAUGCUGAAUGCGGAGUUAGAGGAAAACCAGGAAUUGGCUAAUAACCGCAUGACAGAGCUGGAGAAGCUACAGGCUGAACUUCAGGGGGCUGUGCGGACCAAUGAGCGCCUCAAGGUGGCCCUACGUAGUCUUCCUGAAGAAGUGGUACGGGAGACGGGGGAAUAUCGAAUGCUGCAGGCUCAGUUCUCACUGCUUUACAAUGAGUCUCUGCAAGUGAAGACCCAGCUGGAUGAGGCCCGGGGGCUGCUGCUGGCCACCAAGAACUCCCACCUGAGACACAUUGAACACAUGGAGAGCGAUGAGUUGGGGCUGCAGAAGAAGCUGCGCACAGAGGUCAUCCAGCUGGAGGACACACUGGCCCAGGUACGCAAGGAGUACGAGAUGCUGCGCAUCGAGUUUGAACAGAACCUGGCGGCCAACGAGCAGGCGGGGCCCAUCAACCGUGAGAUGCGCCAUCUGAUCAGCAGUCUUCAAAGUCACAACCACCAGCUAAAGGGGGAUGCCCAGCGAUACAAGCGGAAGCUGCGGGAAGUGCAGGCUGAGAUUGGCAAGCUCCGGGCCCAGGCCAGUGGCUCUACGCACUCUAUCCCCAACCUGGGCCACUCAGAGGACUCUGGCCUCAGUGCCCCGGCCGCAGGGAAAGAAGAGGGCGGGCCAGGCCCUGUUGGAGCCCAUGAGACCAGAAAGGAGAUAGCGUCAGUGCCUGUUGCCACCAUGACUACCGCCUCAGCAAAGAAGGAGGAACUGGUCCCCUCUGAGGAAGAUGCCCAGGCCUUACCCGCCGGGUCCCAGGGCCCCUCUUCCCGGGGCCGAGAACCUGAGGCCAGGCCCAAACGGGAGCUUCGGGAGCGGGAAGGGCCUGGCCUGGGACCCCAGUCUGUAGCCUCAGCACUUUCAAGAGCUGAUCGGGAGAAGGCCAAGGUGGAGGAGGCCAAGAGGAAGGAGUCAGAACUCCUUAAAGGUCUCCGAGCAGAGCUCAAGAAGGCCCAGGAGAGCCAGAAGGAGAUGAAGCUGCUGCUGGACAUGUACAAAUCGGCACCCAAGGAGCAGCGGGAUAAGGUGCAGCUCAUGGCAGCGGAACGCAAGGCCAAGGCCGAGGUCGAUGAGCUCCGGAGUCGGAUCCGGGAGUUGGAGGAGAGGGACCGACGGGAGAGCAAGAAGAUUGCAGAUGAAGAUGCCCUGAGGCGCAUUCGGCAGGCGGAGGAGCAGAUAGAGCACCUGCAGCGCAAGCUGGGUGCCACCAAGCAGGAGGAGGAGGCUCUGCUGUCGGAGAUGGAUGUGACGGGGCAGGCUUUUGAGGACAUGCAGGAGCAAAAUGGGCGGCUGCUGCAGCAGUUGCGGGAAAAGGACGAUGCCAACUUCAAGCUGAUGUCGGAGCGGAUCAAGGCCAACCAGAUUCACAAGCUGCUGCGGGAGGAGAAGGAUGAGCUGGGUGAGCAGGUUCUUGGCCUCAAGUCUCAGGUGGAUGCCCAGCUGCUGACCGUGCAGAAGCUGGAGGAAAAAGAGCGGGCCUUGCAGGGCAGCCUUGGAGGUGUGGAGAAGGAGCUGACGCUGCGCAGCCAGGCCCUGGAGCUCAAUAAGAGGAAGGCUGUGGAAGCCGCCCAGCUGGCCGAGGACCUGAAGGUGCAGCUGGAGCACGUGCAGACGCGGCUGCGAGAGAUUCAGCCCUGCUUGGCCGAGAGCCGGGCCGCUCGAGAGAAAGAGAGCUUCAACCUCAAGAGGGCUCAGGAGGACAUCUCACGACUGCGGCGCAAGCUGGAGAAGCAGAGGAAGGUGGAGGUUUAUGCAGAUGCUGAUGAAAUCCUCCAGGAGGAGAUCAAGGAGUACAAGGCGCGGUUGACCUGCCCCUGCUGUAACACGCGCAAGAAGGACGCAGUGCUUACCAAGUGCUUCCACGUUUUCUGCUUCGAGUGCGUGCGGGGCCGCUAUGAGGCCCGCCAGAGGAAGUGUCCCAAGUGCAACGCAGCCUUUGGUGCCCAUGACUUCCACCGAGUCUACAUCAGCUGAACCCGUAACUCAGGGGACUUUGGAACACCCAUGGACCCUGGGGGCUGUGCCUGCAGCCCCUGCCCAUCCAGUUGGUUUGGGGUCUCCAAUGCAUGCUAGUGGGAGUGGGAUCAGCCAAGCUCAGUUCCACCUUUUCUCCAGUCAGAGCUGAGGCACCCACCAUGCAGGAAAGAUCUGCUGUGAGCACCCAGGUCCAUCCCAGCCCUAUGGGGGAAAUCCCAAGGCUGUGACCCCCAUGGAAGAGGAGACUCGCUCACUACCUGCUUACAUACCCACAAGCCCCUCUGGAUGUCUUCUCCCAAGCCCUCUUACCCCACUCACGCUUCCCAACCCGUCCCCAGCCCUGACUCUGCUUUCAUCCCGGUGGCCUUAACUGCAGUGGAGGCAGAACUUCUGAUCAUUCCAGGUAGAAGAGCUUCAUCUAGCCCUGUAACUGAGCCUGUACCACGAUGCUUGCUGUGCUGCCCGCCCAAGCAAACUGGGCUGUCAGGGCAGCGGGCCUGGCCUGGAAGGUGGAGCUGCUGACAGGUGCAGGGGCCACUCGGACUCACAGCCCCUGCUCUAGAGAUGUCUUGUAAAAUAGGCUGUAUGUCAUGAAUAAACAUCCAACCUCCA